rnacentral:rRNA from 1 species
GACGAACGCUGGCGGCGUGCUUAACACAUGCAAGUCGAACGGAAAGGCCUCUUUCGGGGGGUACUCGAGUGGCGAACGGGUGAGUAACACGUGAGUAACCUGCCCUUGACUUUGGGAUAACUUCAGGAAACUGGGGCUAAUACCGGAUAGUAGCUCCUGCUGCAUGGUGGGGGUUGGAAAGUUUCGGCGGUUGGGGAUGGACUCGCGGCGUAUCAGCUUGUUGGUGGGGUAGUGGCUUAACAAGGCUUUGACGGGUAGCUGGCCUGAGAGGGUGACCGGCGACACUGGCAAUAAGAUUAGGCGCAGCAGCCGACGGGAGGCAGCAGUGGUGAAUAUUGGCCCAUGGGUGGCAGCCCGCUGCAGCAACGCCGUGUGCGGGAUGACGGCCUUCGGGUUGUAAACCGCUUUCCCUCCUGACGAAGCUUUGUCUGACGGUAGUGGGUAAAGAAGCACCGGCUAACUACGUG